CCGUGCUAGGUGGGGAGUUAGCGGUGCCCUGUUGCCUGCAAUCCGCUAUAGCAGGAUCGAUAAUUAUGCUAGGAUUUUAUCGAUUGAUCAUUUAAUGCUUAGCAGUGUUGAUAAUUUAGUCCUGUGGCAACAUUAAAUGAGUGAACUCCGUCAGGCCUGGAAAGGAGCAGCGGUAAGCUUUCUUUUUUGUGUGCUUGCAGUUAAUUGGAUUUGAGCUGUUUAGGUAUUAGGUAUUCAUUUAUGAGAUUUCCAAACAUAAUUGCACGG
rfam:Candidatus Marinimicrobia bacterium TMED80 12858, whole genome shotgun sequence.